rnacentral:rRNA from 1 species
GUGAGGAAUUUUCCGCAAUGGGCGAAAGCCUGACGGAGCAAUGCCGCGUGAAGGAUGAAGGCCUAUGGGUUGUAAACUUCUUUUCUUAGAGAAGAAUAUUGACGGUAUCUGAGGAAUAAGCAUCGGCUAACUCUGUGCCAGCAGCCGCGGUAAGACAGAGGAUGCAAGCGUUAUCCGGAAUGAUUGGGCGUAAAGCGUCUGUAGGUGGCUUCAAAAGUCUCCUGUCAAAGAUCAGGGCUUAACCCUGGGCCGGCAGGAGAAACUCUGAGGCUAGAGUUUGGUAGAGGUAGAAGGAAUUCCCGGUGGAGCGGUGAAAUUCGUAGAGAUCGGGAAGAACACCAAAGGCGAAAGCACUCUGCUGGGCCACAACUGACACUGAGAGACGAAAGCGAGGGGAGCAAAAGGGAUUAGAAACCCGGGUAGUCC